GGGUGGUUAGCUCAGCGGUAGAGCGCUUCGUUUACACCGAAGAUGUCGGGGGUUCGAAACCCUCACCGCCCA
rnacentral:tRNA from 2 species